rfam:Camelus ferus unplaced genomic scaffold scaffold843, whole genome shotgun sequence.
GGGAGUAUAGCUCAGUAGUAGAACACGUGCUUGGCGUGCACAAGGUCCUGGGUUCAAUCCCCAGUGCCUCCA